AGCGAACGCUGGCGGCAGGCUUAACACAUGCAAGUCGAGCGGGCAUCCUUGUGGUGUCAGCGGCAGACGGGUGAGUAACGCGUGGGAACGUGCCCUUCGGUUCGGAAUAACUCAGGGAAACUUGAGCUAAUACCGGAUACGUGCGAGAGCAGAAAGGUUUAUCUGCCGAAGGGUCGGCCCGCGUCUGAUUAGCUAGUUGGUGAGGUUACGGCUCACCAAGGCGACGAUCAGUAGCUGGUCUGAGAGGAUGAUCAACCACACUGGGACUGAGACACGGCCCAGACUCCUACGGGAGGCAGCAGUGGGGAAUAUUGGACAAUGGGGGCAACCCUGAUCCAGCCAUGCCGCGUGAGUGAUGACGGCCUUAGGGUUGUAAAGCUCUUUUCUCCGGGACGAUAAUGACGGUACCGGAGGAAUAAGCCCCGGCUAACUUCGUG
rnacentral:rRNA from 1 species